CGGAUUAGCGGCGGACGGGUGAGUAACACGUGAGUAACCUGCCUUAGACAUUGGGAUAGCCUCGGGAAACCGGGAUUAAUACCAAAUAAAAUCAUAAUGACACAUGUCAUAACGAUCAAAACUCCGGUGGUCUAAGAUGGACUCGCGUCCCAUUAGCUAGUUGGUAGAGUAAAAGCCUACCAAGGCGACGAUGGGUAGCCGGCCUGAGAGGGUGAACGGCCACAUUGGAACUGAGACACGGUCCAA
rnacentral:rRNA from 1 species